rnacentral:tRNA from 1 species
GGGUAUAUCUCAGUGGUAGAGCGCAUGCUUAGCACGCACGAGGUCCUGGGUUCGAUCCCCAGUACCGCCA